rnacentral:rRNA from 1 species
ACUCCUGCGGGAGGCAGCAGUGGGGAAUUUUGGACAAUGGGCGAAAGCCUGAUCCAGCAAUGCCGCGUGAGUGAAGAAGGCCUUCGGGUUGUAAAGCUCUUUUGUCAGGGAAGAAACGGUGAAAGCUAAUAUCUUUUGCUAAUGACGGUACCUGAAGAAUAAGCACCGGCUAACUACGUGCCAGCAGCCGCGGUAAUACGUAGGGUGCAAGCGUUAAUCGGAAUUACUGGGCGUAAAGCGUGCGCAGGCGGUUUUGUAAGUCUGAUGUGAAAUCCCCGGGCUCAACCUGGGAAUUGCAUUGGAGACUGCAAGGCUAGAAUCUGGCAGAGGGGGGUAGAAUUCCACGUGUAGCAGUGAAAUGCGUAGAUAUGUGGAGGAACACCGAUGGCGAAGGCAGCCCCCUGGGUCAAGAUUGACGCUCAUGCACGAAAGCGUGGGGAGCAAACAGGAUUAGAAACCCCAGUAGUCCCAU